AAGAAGGGCUUGGGGCCGGCAGGCCCAGCCGAGGAGCCGGAGGGGCCGGGAGCAGGGGCUGCCGGGGGGCUGCUGCUCCCCAACAGGGUCGGGCAGGAGGAGCCCUCAGCCAUCGGCAUGGGCACCCCGCACCCAGCACAGGGUAUGAAAAAGAAAAAAAAGAAGAAAAUCAAGAAUAAAAUCAAGUCACGGGAACCUUCUCUGGAGCAGCAGCGUGAGGAGGUCUCAAGCACCUUUGAUUUGUACCGCCGGGCCAUGCUGGCUCUGAAGAUGAGGCAGGAGCAGAGGAAGCAGCCGUCGGCCAUCGCCCCCUGAGCAGGGAGGCACCGAGCACGGGCUGUGGUCCCGAGGAGCCGGGCUGCAGGGCAGGGCAGAGCUGUGGGUGCUUGGCCAGGGCUGGCAGAGCUGGGAAAGGGGUCUGGGGCAUCAACUACAUCCUUGUCCUCUGAGUGGCUGAAAACCAGGGAUCCACAGGGGCGAGCCAAAAGUCCCUUUGUAAAACGCCUCUGGCAGCAAACCCGAGUGAAAAGGGAACAGCCGGCCCCUUGCUGCCCCCUGUUAGUGUUCCCUGGAAGACUCCGACUAAACGCGCAUUGGUCCGUGUGGAGAGGCAGAUCCGAGCAAACACCAGGGGGAAAGCUUGUCCCUUGUAUUGCCCGGUGCCGGGGAAGGCUGUGCUCACAGGUGAGGGCUGACCCGGCACUCCCUGCCUGCUGCCCGGAACGCUCUCGUUCCCUGCUGGUGACCGAGGGAGGGCAGCCCCGGGCGGUGUGCAGAGGAGCUCCACAUCUGGCAGGGCUCAGGAACCGCUUCCCACUCUGCAGGAAGGUGGUGCCCGUGUUUGUGCACCCUGCAGCCCAUCAGUGAACAUUUACAUGCAAAGGCAGCUGGUGGCAGAGGCUCCAUACCCAGGAGUGACCCUGCCACCCUUCCAGGAGGGACACUGUCGCUGGCAGCCUGGUACUCUGCUGCCCCAGGUGACACGGGACAGCAGCAGCACACCUGUCUGAGCCCAGCCUGUGACACUCUGUGUGUGCAGCAGCAGCAGCACAGCUGGUGACACUCUGUGUGUGCGGAGCAGCAGCACAGCUGUCCUAGGGCAGCCGGUGACACUCUGUGUGUGCAGAGCAGCAGCAGCACACCUGUCUGAG